AAAACAUACUUUCAGCAUCAAUGCCAAAACCUCCGUUUUAUACAGAAAGGCUAAUAUAAUUUUCUUUCAUGUUUAAGAGCUACAUAGAUCAACAUCCUCAGACAUCUUCAGAAUAAUUUCAUGCCCAGCUGACAUUGUUAAGAGGAUGUCAGGAGAAUUUCUGAGAAGAAAAGGGAUCCAUCUCACAAAAAGAAGAACGGCAUCUUGGGAUUUGCUGGAUUGCUGGAACAAGUGAGAAAAAGAACAAAACUUUGUUGUUUCCUGAAGGACUGCAAUUCAUAAUUCUUCCCAAAAGGAAAAAGCAUAUAUACGUCAUCCACUUGUAUGUUAUAAGGAUAUUUCUUCUGGGAAGAAAACUCAGAGAGAAAGUGUGAAUUUCUUUCAGUCAGUGACAGUCAAGAAGAUUCACAAAGAGAUUGUACAAAUGUUGUUUAUGGCCACUGCCUGUAAUAGAGACUGCACAGGACUGGGAACAUCUCCGUCAAGAGCUGUUAUUCAGAACCCAAUACAGAGCCAGACCAAAGAGGGUAA